CCCAGACUCCUACGGGAGGCAGCAGUAGGGAAUCUUCCGCAAUGGACGAAAGUCUGACGGAGCAACGCCGCGUGAGUGAUGAAGGCUUCGGGUCGUAAAACUCUGUUGUUAGGGAAGAACAAGUACAAGAGUAACUGCUUGUACCUUGACGGUACCUAACCAGAAAGCCACGGCUAACUACGUGCCAGCAGCCGCGGUAAUACGUAGGUGGCAAGCGUUAUCCGGAAUUAUUGGGCGUAAAGCGCGCGCAGGCGGUUUCUUAAGUCUGAUGUGAAAGCCCACGGCUCAACCGUGGAGGGUCAUUGGAAACUGGGGAACUUGAGUGCAGAAGAGAAAAGCGGAAUUCCACGUGUAGCGGUGAAAUGCGUAGAGAUGUGGAGGAACACCAGUGGCGAAGGCGGCUUUUUGGUCUGUAACUGACGCUGAGGCGCGAAAGCGUGGGGAGCAAACAGGAUUAGAUACCCUGGUAGUCCACGCCGUAAACGAUGAGUGCUAAGUGUUAGAGGGUUUCCGCCCUUUAGUGCUGCAGCUAACGCAUUAAGCACUCCGCCUGGGGAGUACGGUCGCAAGACUGAAACUCAAAGGAAUUGACGGGGGCCCGCACAAGCGGUGGAGCAUGUGGUUUAAUUYGAAGCAACGCGAAGAACCUUACCAGGUCUUGACAUCCUCUGACAACUCUAGAGAUAGAGCGUUCCCCUUCGGGGGACAGAGUGACAGGUGGUGCAUGGUUGUCGUCAGCUCGUGUCGUGAGAUGUUGGGUUAAGUCCCGCAACGAGCGCAACCCUUGAUCUUAGUUGCCAGCAUUUAGUUGGGCACUCUAAGGUGACUGCCGGUGACAAACCGGAGGAAGGUGGGGAUGACGUCAAAUCAUCAUGCCCCUUAUGACCUGGGCUACACACGUGCUACAAUGGAUGGUACAAAGGGCUGCAAGACCGCGAGGUCAAGCCAAUCCCAUAAAACCAUUCUCAGUUCGGAUUGUAGGCUGCAACUCGCCUACAUGAAGCUGGAAUCGCUAGUAAUCGCGGAU
rnacentral:rRNA from 2 species